rnacentral:rRNA from 1 species
ACUCCUGCGGGAGGCAGCAGUGGGGAAUAUUGGACAAUGGGCGCAAGCCUGAUCCAGCCAUGCCGCGUGAGUGAUGAAGGCCCUAGGGUUGUAAAGCUCUUUCACCGGUGAAGAUAAUGACGGUAACCGGAGAAGAAGCCCCGGCUAACUUCGUGCCAGCAGCCGCGGUAAUACGAAGGGGGCUAGCGUUGUUCGGAUUUACUGGGCGUAAAGCGCACGUAGGCGGACUAUUAAGUCAGGGGUGAAAUCCCGGGGCUCAACCCCGGAACUGCCUUUGAUACUGGUAGUCUUGAGUUCGAGAGAGGUGAGUGGAAUUCCGAGUGUAGAGGUGAAAUUCGUAGAUAUUUGGAGGAACACCAGGGGCGAAGGCGGCUCACUGGCUCGAUACUGACGCUGAGGUGCGAAAGCGUGGGGAGCAAACAGGAUUAGAAACCCCUGUAGUCCCAUG